AUUGAACGCUGGCGGCAUGCCUAACACAUGCAAGUCGAACGGCAGCACAGUGCGUAGCAAUACGUAUGGGUGGCGAGUGGCGGACGGGUGAGGAAUGCAUCGGAAUCUACCCAGUAGCGGGGGAGUAACCUGGGGAAACGUACAGGCUAAUAACCGCAUACGACCUAUGAGUGAAAGACGGGGGACCGGUAGGGCCGUCGCACUAUUGGAUGAGCCGAUGCCGGA
rnacentral:rRNA from 1 species